ensembl:snRNA U6 U6 spliceosomal RNA
CCACUAUAGCAGCACAUACACUAAAAUUGGAAUGACACAGAGCACAGCCCCUGAACAAGGAUGACAUGCCAAUUUGUGAAGUGUUCCAUAUUUUU